UGAAGGAUGAAGGCCUUCUGGGUUGUAAACUUCUUUUAUCUGGGAAGAAACCUCCGAUUUCUAUUGGAGCCGACGGUACCAGAUGAAUAAGCACCGGCUAACUCCGUGCCAGCAGCCGCGGUAAUACGGAGGGUGCAAGCGUUAUCCGGAUUCACUGGGUUCAAAGGGUGUGUAGGCGGGCUAUUAAGUCAGUGGUGAAAUCUCUGAGCUCAACUCAGAAACUGCCGUUGAUACUAUUAGUCUUGAAUAUCGAUGAGGUAGGCGGAAUAUGUCAUGUAGCGGUGAAAUGCUUAGAUAUGACAUAGAACACCGAUUGCGAAGGCAGCUUACUAAACGAUCAUUGACGCUGAGGCACGAAAGCGUGGGGAUCAAACAGGAUUAGAUACCCUGGUAGUCCACGCCCUAAACGA
rnacentral:rRNA from 1 species